AUGCCAGCAAUUCAGUAGGAAUUAGCACGUUCCACAUCAAUUCUCCAAGACUGAAAAUGGAAUUAUGACCUUCCAGGUGUUUCUGAAGUAUUUGAUCAAAUCAUCGAGAAAGAACUAUUCCUGUGACAAAGGCUGGAUCUGAGAGAGUCCCCAGACAGGCGUUAUUCUGAAGGACAGAUACAGUAAGCAGCAGAAAUAAUUCGUAAUUCUUACUUUAUUCUUAAAACAUUUAAGACCCCCAUCAGAACAUGCAAUAGAAAUGCUGUUUGAGAGGACGUGUUACUGAUGCUUAACACUGCUGGCUUUUGGAGUGGUAGAACUUAGAAAAGAGUUUAAAGAAUUUUAAGGUUAAAGAAUUACCUGCCUGAAAUUGUGAAAAUUCAUUUCACUUUAUUUUCCUUUUCCUGUUAAAAUUAAGUACCAACACUUCUAAAUUACACUGACGUCUUCCUGUAUUUACUGUACCUGCUGUGUUCUUCUACCUUUCACUUCUGGGUGAAAUGGGUGAAAUGGAAGAGUCACUGACAUGAGGCACUGCUAAACAUGAAAAUUGUUAAAAAUAAAUAUCUGAACUUGAAGAGUUCUUAAAAAUAA
rnacentral:lncRNA from 1 species